rnacentral:rRNA from 1 species
UGUUUUUGGUCCUGGCUCAGGAUUAACGCUGGCGGCAUGCCUAAUACAUGCAAGUCGAACGAACAGGCCCAUGAAUUUUGAAAGUACUUGUACUCGAUUUAGAAUUGGAUUUUCCUGUUAGUGGCGAACGGGGUAGUAACGCGUGGGAAACCUCCCCAUUGGAUGAGGAUAACUAUUGGAAACGAUAGCUAAUACUGAAUAUGAUAUUAAAACACAUGUUUAAAUAUUAAAAGGAGCGUUUGCUUCGCCGAUGGAUGGUCCCGCGUUGUAUUAGCUAGUUGGUGAGGUAAUGGCUCACCAAGGCUACGAUACAUAACCGGGCUGAGAGGCUGAACGGUACCACUAGGACUGAGACACGGCCUAGACACCUACGGGUGGCAGCAGUAGGGAAUUUUUCGCAAUGGACGAAAGUCUGACGGAGCAAUGCCGCGUGAAUGAUGAAGGUCUUCGGAUCGUAAAAUUCUGUUGUAAGAGAAGAACACCAAGGAUAGGAAAUGAUCUUUGGCUGACGGUACCUUACCAGAAAUGGACGGCUAACUUCGUGCCAGCAGCCGCGGUAAUACGAAGGUCCCAAGCGUUAUCCGGAAUUAUUGGGCGUAAAGAGCGUGUAGGCGGCCAUGUAGGUCCGGUGUGAAAACUCGAGGCUUAACCUCGAGAUGUCAUCGGAAACCAUUUGGCUAGAGUCCGGAAGAGGAGAGUGGAAUUUCCUGGUGUAGCGGUGAAAUGCGCAGAUAUCAGGAAGAACACCAG